GGUAACGGACCACCAAGACGACGAUGCGUAGGGGUUCUGAGAGGAAGGUCCCCCACACUGGUACUGAGACACGGACCAGACUCCUACGGAAGGCAGCAG
rnacentral:rRNA from 1 species